GUCAAGUGGACACGCCGGAGGUGAUACCCGCGGAAAAGGUGUGCUUUGAAGGUACAAAUAAAUCUCUCUCGGAUGAUGAUCAAGCACCUUGUCAAGAACCGAACACGCAAAUUGAAGCUUCCGCAUGAAUAUAAUUUUGUCUAAACUUUAAACAUGUCAUAAAUACUUUUGGUUGAUGGUGCUUUGAAUCCUUUAGCUAGUUGUUAGUUGAUUAGUAGGGAUGGCUUCUAAAUGAAUUUUGUACCAUCUUAAACAUGUUUGGAAAAUUUCACUAGUAUGUAUGGUUUAAAACGGUAAAUGCUUUUGUAAA